GCACCCAAAUCUAAACUGAUCACUGUUGGCCAGGUAAGUAAGAGAUUGAUGGGAGGCUCCCCACUAUCAGUGGCAACAGUCCUAAUUAAAUAACCAUUGCUUAAUGAGUUGCCUUAGACACCAAUAGGUCCUGACCAAUUUCAAUUGGGUUAACCUAAGUGAUCGAGGCUCGAGCCACUGAGCCAAGAUCAUAUUAUGGAUCAUUGAUUUAGCACACAUGCAUGUUAAUCGAUUUGAUCCUACAACUAUUAUUUUGAUCUUGAGCAGACUUGACCUAAUCACAAUCAACUC
rnacentral:lncRNA from 1 species